UACGUAGGGGGCAAGCGUUGUCCGGAUUUAUUGGGCGUAAAGAGCGUGUAGGCGGCCGUACAGGUCAGCUGUGAAAACUCGAGGCUCAACCUCGAGACGUCGGUUGAAACCGUACGGCUAGAGUCCGGAAGAGGAGUGUGGAAUUCCCGGUGUAGCGGUGAAAUGCGCAGAUAUCGGGAAGAACACCCGUGGCGAAGGCGGCACUCUGGGACGGUACUGACGCUGAGACGCGAAAGCGUGGGGAGCGAACAGG
rnacentral:rRNA from 1 species